AGUAACACGUGGGUAACCUACCUAUAAGACUGGGAUAACUUCGGGAAACCGGAGCUAAUACCGGAUAACAUUUGGAACCGCAUGGUUCUAAAGUGAAAGAUGGUUUUGCUAUCACUUAUAGAUGGACCCGCGCCGUAUUAGCUAGUUGGUAAGGUAACGGCUUACCAAGGCGACGAUACGUAGCCGACCUGAGAGGGUGAUCGGCCACACUGGAACUGAGACACGGUCCAGACUCCUACGGGAGGCAGCAGUAGGGAAUCUUCCGCAAUGGGCGAAAGCCUGACGGAGCAACGCCGCGUGAGUGAUGAAGGGUUUCGGCUCGUAAAACUCUGUUAUUAGGGAAGAACAAACGUGUAAGUAACUGUGCACGUCUUGACGGUACCUAAUCAGAAAGCCACGGCUAACUACGUGCCAGCAGCCGCGGUAAUACGUAGGUGGCAAGCGUUAUCCGGAAUUAUUGGGCGUAAAGCGCGCGUAGGCGGUUUCUUAAGUCUGAUGUGAAAGCCCACGGCUCAACCGUGGAGGGUCAUUGGAAACUGGGAAACUUGAGUGCAGAAGAGGAAAGUGGAAUUCCAUGUGUAGCGGUGAAAUGCGCAGAGAUAUGGAGGAACACCAGUGGCGAAGGCGACUUUCUGGUCUGUAACUGACGCUGAUGUGCGAAAGCGUGGGGAUCAAACAGGAUUAGAUACCCUGGUAGUCCACG
rnacentral:rRNA from 1 species